rnacentral:lncRNA from 1 species
GAACAGUGUCAUUGAUGCAUUUGAUAACAUAUUCAAUCAUAGAGACGAAUUUGAUUAGCAUUUUGUAAUUCCAAUUCUAUCAUUUAGACUACUGAAUGUAGGGAACUAAAUUGGUACAACCAUACAACUUCUUGGAGCAAAUUGCAUAUUUACUCAUCAACCACCAAUGUAAAAUUUUUAUUAUAAAGAGUACAAAAUAAACUAACCUUAUUACUAAUACUUGAAAAAAAAUGAUGACAUUCAUACUUAAUACUAGUACAUAUGUAGAUACUUCAUCAUUCAUCUGUUUUGAAAAAAUGAGACUAACAGUGGAAGCUCAAGGUGAGCUAGCUUUGAAUAACAAAUUUCCCGCUUGCGUUGCGUAUACUCGCUCAAUAUAGAAC